GUAAUUGAAGAGGUUUGGAAAGACCCACCACAGAAGGUAAUAGUCCUGUAUGUUAAACGAGAAGACUUCAGAUAUGAUCCAGAGUACCACGGGACACGUGAAACCCUGUGGGAAGCAGGAGGGACCACCCUCCAAGGCUAAAUACUACCUAGUGACCGAUAGCGUAUAGUACCGUGAGGGAAAGGUGAAAAGAACCCCGGGAGGGGAGUGAAAUAGAACCUGAAACCCUGCACUUACAAGCUGUGGAAGCACAUUUCUUGUGUGACCGCGUACUUUUUGUAGAACGGGCCAACGAGUUACGUUAAGUAGCAAGGUUAAGCACUUAAGGUGUGGAGCCGUAGCGAAAGCGAGUUUUAACUGAGCGUUCAGUUACUUGACGUAGACCCGAAACCGGGCGACCUACCCAUGAGCAGGAUGAAGCGAAAGUAAAAUUUCGUGGAGGUCCGAACCCACGAGCGUUGAAAAGCUCGGGGAUGACUUGUGGGUAGCGGUGAAAUUCCAAUCGAGCCCGGAGAUAGCUGGUUCUCCCCGAAAUAGCUUUAGGGCUAGCCUCAAGGUGAGAGAUACGGAGGUAGAGCACUGAAUGUCCUAGGGGGUAUUGCACCUACCGAAGACUAUCAAACUCCGAAUGCCGUCAUCUUAUACUUGGGAGUCAGACUGUGGGUGAUAAGAUUCAUAGUCGAAAGGGCAACAGCCCAGAUCGUCAGCUAAGGUCCCUAAAUGUAAGUUAAGUGGUAAAGGAUGUGGGAUUGCACAGACAACCAGGAUGUUGGCUUAGAAGCAGCCACUCAUUCAAAGAGUGCGUAAUAGCUCACUGGUCGAGUGAUCCUGCGCCGAAGAUUUCCGGGGCUAAAACUUACUACCGAAGCUACGGCAUCAUUAUGAUGGGUAGGGGAGCUUCCCAUACGGGUUGAAGCAUGACCGUAAGGACAUGUGGACAGUAUGGGAGUGAGAAUGUUGGCAUGAGUAGCGAGAUGUGGGUGAGAAUCCCACAGGCCGUAAACCCAAGGUUUCCAGGGGAAGGUUCGUCCGCCCUGGGUUAGUCGGGACCUAAGCUGAGGCCGAAAGGCGUAGGUGAUGGACAACAGGUUGAUAUUCCUGUACUACCGAUAACCGUUUGAGAGAUGGGAUGACACAGUAGGAUAAGCUAAGCACACUGUUGGUUAUGUGUGCCCAAGCAUUGAGGCAGUCAGAGUAGGUAAAUCCGCUUUGAUAAUGCUGGGAUGUGAUGGGGAGCGAAAUUUAGUAGCGAAGUAGCUGAUUUCACACUGUCAAGAAAAGUCUCUAUCGAGGUUAAAGGUACCCGUACCGCAAACCGACACAGGUGGGUGAGGAGAGUAUCCUAAGGCCAGCGAGAGAACUGUUGUUAAGGAACUCGGCAAAAUGACCCCGUAACUUAGGGAUAAGGGGUGCCACCAU
rnacentral:rRNA from 1 species